CUGAUACAGCCAUGCCGCGUGAGUGAUGAAGGCCUUAGGGUUGUAAAGCUCUUUCUCCAGGGAUGAUAAUGACUGUAUCUGGCUAAGAAUGCCCGGACAACUCCAUGCCAG
rnacentral:rRNA from 1 species